rnacentral:lncRNA from 1 species
CUUUAGUUCACAAAACAGAAUGUAUUCUUCAGGUAAUAAAAUCUUAUUCUGGUACUAAAAUUCACCUAGGCAUGCUCUAAAGAUAUGCUAUCAUGAAAAUGCUGCUUCAUUAUUCUGGGGGACAUAUAAAACUUGAGGAAAAGAUUAUCUUAGAAGAAAAGCUUACUUAAAAAGUUAAACAACCAUAAGUACAAAGAAAGAAAAUCCUAAAGCCUAAAGUAUUCAUCAAAUCUAAAGUAUUUCAUCAGAUCUAAGACAUCACCAAUCAUAAGACACACCUUUAUUUCAUGUACUGCAAAGAAAGAAAAAGAUUACACCAGGUGAACUAUGUCAUGCUGCAGAUUGUAAAACUAAUCGCAGUUUUAGAGAUUUUCAAAUUGGGGGUGGGUGGGAAACGUGCUUCUUUGAAUCACUGAUAUAUGUUGGAAUACUUUGAGCUGUAAUUAACAGAAAUCUGACUCAGAAUAUGUUGGUUCACUUCCCUGGAAGCUGAGAGAAAGUGGAAGCUUCAGGAAGGGGCUGAUCCGGUUCAAUAUUGUCAUUAAGGACCCACCAUCCUAUCAAGGAUCUACUUCAUUCUCCAAGGCUGGUUCCCGUUGCAGGUUACAACAAUUUUGGGAAGAAUCACCCUGGAUUGAAAACUGAAAACUGGAUAAAAAGAAGCCCCACGACAAGGGACAGUCCUGAUGAAAGCAGAAGAGGCAGCAACUCUGGCCGGAGAGGAAAACAGCCACCUUUGGGAGCAGCGGAGCUUCUCAGCUGGCCAGGCAGCAGCCAACCUAAGGUCCAGGCAUGCUGAUAUGGACACCAGUGGGGGCCAUUGAGGUGCAUCCCUUGGGCUGUUAGCCCAGGGGUCUUCCACACCCACAAGAGCACAGAUUUAAUCCAAUUCAGCCAGGGCAGGCAACCCACCCUAGGGACUGGCCCUGCCUAACAGCAAGCCCUCAGGCUACUUUUCAGCCUGCAUUGACUGAGUGCCUUGAUCCUCUACAGGCAGGCAAGGGUGUCUGCCUCUGUGGGGCAGGGCUUGUGUGAGGACCAG